rnacentral:rRNA from 1 species
UACGUAGGGGGGCAAGCGUUGUCCGGAUUUAUUGGGCGUAAAGAGCGUGUAGGCGGCCAUACAGGUCAGCUGUGAAAACUCGAGGCUCAACCUCGAGACGUCGGUUGAAACCGUAUGGCUAGAGUCCGGAAGAGGAGAGUGGAAUUCCCGGUGUAGCGGUGAAAUGCGCAGAUAUCGGGAAGAACACCUAUGGCGAAGGCAGCUCUCUGGGACGGUACUGACACUGAGACGCGAAAGCGUGGGGGAGCGAACAGG